rnacentral:rRNA from 1 species
ACGCGUGGGAAUCUACCCAGUAGUUGGGGAUAGCCCGGAGAAAUCCGGAUUAAUACCGAAUAAUGUCUACGGACGAAAAGGUGCCUCUUCUUGAAAGCACUUGCUAUUGGAUGAGCCCGCGUUAGAUUAGUUUGUUGGUGGGGUAACGGCCUACCAAGACUGCGAUCUAUAGCUGGUUUGAGAGGAUGAUCAGCCACAUUGGGACUGAGACACGGCCCAGACUCCUACGGGAGGCAGCAGUGGGGAAUAUUGGACAAUGGGCGCAAGCCUGAUCCAGCAAUACCGCGUGUGUGAAGAAGG